rnacentral:rRNA from 1 species
GACGAGUGGCGCACGGGUGCGUAACGCGUAUAGAACCUACCCUGUACAGGGGGAUAGCCCAGAGAAAUUUGGAUUAAUACCCCGUGGUAACUAUAAAUGGCAUCAUUUAUAGUUUAAAGUUUUCGGACGGUACAGGAUGGCUAUGCGUCCUAUUAGUUAGAUGGUGAGGUAACGGCUCACCAUGGCACCGAUGGGUACGGGCCGUGAGAGGGGGAUCCCGCACGCUGGUGCUGAGACACGGACCAGACUCCUACGGGAGGCAGCAGUGAGGAAUAUUGGACAAUGGGCGUAAGCCUGAUCCAGCCAUGCCGCGUGC